UACGGAGGGUGGCAGCGUUGUCCGGAAUCAUUGGGCGUAAAGGGCGCGUAGGUGGCUUCUUAAGCGUGCGGUGAAAGCCUGGGGCUCAACCCCGGGUCGGCCGUGCGAACUGGGGGGCUGGAGCACUGUAGAGGCAGGCGGAAUUCCGCGUGUAGCAGUGAAAUGCGUAGAGAUGCGGAGGAACACCGAUGGCGAAGGCAGCCCCCUGGGCUGACACUGACGCUCAGGACACGAA
rnacentral:rRNA from 1 species